rnacentral:tRNA from 1 species
GGUGGCUCAGUGGUAGAGUGUUUGCCUUGCAUGCAUGAGGCCGUGGGUUCGAUUCCUCGGCACCA